ACGCUCGACACCUACGGGACGCAGCAGUAGGGAAUCUUCCACAAUGGGCGCAAGCCUGAUGGAGCAACACCGCGUGAGUGAAGAAGGGUUUCGGCUCGUAAAGCUCUGUUGUUGGAGAAGAACGUGCGUGAGAGUAACUGUUCACGCAGUGACGGUAUCCAACCAGAAAGUCACGGCUAACUACGUGCCAACAGCCGCGGUAAUCUGAGCGGGCUGGCAAGGC
rnacentral:rRNA from 1 species